UACGUAGGGUGCGAGCGUUAAUCGGAAUUACUGGGCGUAAAGCGUGCGCAGGCGGUUUGCUAAGACAGGUGUGAAAUCCCCGGGCUUAACCUGGGAACUGCGCUUGUGACUGGCAGGCUAGAGUACGGCAGAGGGGGGUGGAAUUCCUGGUGUAGCAGUGAAAUGCGUAGAUAUCAGGAGGAACACCGAUGGCGAAGGCAGCCCCCUGGGCCUGUACUGACGCUCAUGCACGAAAGCGUGGGGAGCAAACAGGAUUAGAAACCCCAGUAGUCC
rnacentral:rRNA from 1 species